rnacentral:lncRNA from 1 species
GAUGUAUGAAGAAGAAAAGUCAGCCCCAACAUGUAAAAAUGAAGAGAGGAAGGAUGUGGGCUGCAAAAGGAGCGGGGAAAGGACUUGGUGGGACACUGGAAAUGCUUGCUUCGUGGAGACAAGAUUCUUUCUCAGAGUCCCUAAACAAAUUGCUGGAAAGAACACACAGAGGAGGCAUGUUAAUGCAGUUCUGUGGCUUUGUUCUACAAUCAAGGCCGGAUGGAGUGUUUGCGCAGUGAAAUCUCUUGGAACAAAAUGUGAUCGCUCUUGCAACCGUUUUGCCCCAAAGCACAUUCAUAAUUACACACCAGAUGCCUUACCUGAAACUUGAAGAUCAAGAAGAGGCUGCUCCAAACUAAAGUACCAACACUCAGAGCCAGAGCCUUCUCUGAAGACAAAGGCUUUUACAUCUAGCUGAAAUAGAGAACUGCACAACGCAGCAGGAGAGCCGGCAGCUGACAGUGUGCCCCAGCCCCUGGGCCCAGGGCAAUCAAAUUCCUCACCAUCCUUGGGGACAGAAAUGUGAGCAGCAAUAACUUCAGCCAGGUAAACUAUGCUGCUUUUAAAACGAACAAUCUCUGUAUGGGGCUGGAAGCUCAAACCCCAGGGCCAGCCACACCAAGCCCUGGGACUUUAAGAGCCCUCCUGUCCCCGCAUGGCAGACCCAGGUGCCUCUUUAACCCAUCCUGCAGCACCUUUGGCUCAGCUAUCGCCGCCUUCUCUUUCAUUCCACAUGCCCAGGCUUCUCCUGGGACAAAUGGGAAAAGAAGAUAAAGUUUGGUGGCUACCAGAGUCAGUAGAGUCAAAUGAAACAUUGCCCAUGGAACUGUCGGAAAGAUCCGAGGACUAUUACAGACCUGGAGUGGCAGUAAGCGUGGUGACAACAUUCAUACUCACGUAAUGGAAUAGAAAUCAGAGGGUCUGCGUUCAGUUGUCAGCUGUGCUAUUUCCCAGCCUAUAAUAUUAGUCUAAUCACAGACUAGCAAAUAUCUCUUACAUAGCGAAAGCUCCAUAAUUGUUUGUUAAUGAAUGUUGAAAGCAUUUAAGCUUUUUGGGCCUCAGUGGCUAUAUAUUUUUAAAUAAGGAGGUUGAAAUAUGUGAUUGGUAUUAAUGCUAGUCACUAAUAUUUAUUGAACACUUAAUAUGUGCUGGGCACUGUUGUGAAUUAAUUAAAUCUAUUAAUUGUCAUAAAACCCAUAUUAUAUACAUGUAUUUUGUACUCCUCGCAAAGCCCAUAUUAUCUCUUUUUAACAUAUAAGGAAAUCAAAGCACAAAGACGUUAAGUAACUGGCCCGAAGUCACACAUUUGGUAAGAGGCAGAACCAGGAUUCAAAACUCCAAAGUCCAUGUGUUUUCUUACCAUGUUUUUGUCAACUUCUAGCUUAUACUAUAAUAAUUAUUCACAUUUGUUUACUGUUGCUAUCAAUGAGAAGAGCUUAAUCUCUAAUUCUAUAUAUACUGCCUGUAUUACUUGUUAUAGGAUUGGUCCUCUAUGUAUCCACCAAUACCUGAGCCUCCAAACAUCACUGAAAAGCUUGUAUUUACAAUUCAAAUAAGAGAAACCAGAAAUUUUAUACCUACUUGCAGAUGGUAUAAAGUGGAGAGGGAUAGCAGAUAUGUUGGCUGGAAGAAUCACCACCCUAAACAUGCUAACGAGCAACAGAAAGGAGCAGAUGUAACAAGAUACGAGGAACAGAAAUAAAUCCAGCGGUAUACUGAUGAACGAGCUCUCUGAAAACAAAAGCCCUGCUGUGUAGCAUUUCCCUGAGAAAUGUCAUGGUCCAACAUGUAUGCAGAGGAGGCCACAGUUUUGUGGGAGAAGAAAACACAGGACUUGGAUUCAGAUGACUCAUGAGGGUUGAGUGGGAUGACAUAAGAAACGCUUGGCAAACUCUAAAGUCUUGCUUCUCCAGAGUGGGCCCACAGGCCAGCAUCCUCAUCAUCCAGGAGUUUGUUAGAAAGGGAAAUGCUCAGGCCCCAGCAUGCGUCUCCUGACACAGAGCCUGCAUUGCAACAAGAUCCCUAGGUGAGUUGUAUGCACACUAACGUGCGAGAGGCCCUGUUCUAAGGGACUCAGCAAAUGUUGUGAUUUUGGACUCUGUUUUCCUUUCAAAUUCUGC